GCCGCGACACGAUCGCCCCCUGAUCUUCCCUUCACCACCAGUAGGAUGCUCUAGUUCGACUGAGUAGGGCUGUAAAUGUGCAAACCCUCGAUUUAGGGUUUAUCUUCUUCAUUCUUCAAUCUCUUCAUCCAUCGUUCUCCGGUGAAAAUGGCGAACGAGCAACGGUCAUCUACAGGACCAUGGAUCCUCGAAGCAAUGCCUUUCAUCCUUGUUCUUCUCAUAGCAGCUCACGUCUUUGCUUUGGUAUAUUGGAUUUAUAAGUUGGCAGCCCAAAAACAACCUCCGAGGAGGAAGGCACACUGAGUUACUGAAUGAUUCGUUCCUGAAAGAAACUUUAGUGAAACCGAAUUCGUUAAUUAUUGCGUCUCUGAUGUUGAGGAGGCAGUCACAAAAGCCAUGGAACGAUGUUUCUCUCUCAGGCAAAUUCCAGGACUUGUAGCAUCAAUAGAUGCUUUCUUCAUGUUAGUUUUGUCUGGUUGGCGAUUGUCGAUUGCUAUUGACCCACUAUCGAUUUACAGGUAUAUUACUGUGGUAAUUUUUUUUUGUUCUUCUUCAUUAGCCAUCUGAAUUCAAAGCACUUCAGAAGAUAUUCCUGUAGUAUAAGUAAGCCUGUGUUUUCCUUGAUUUGAUCUUAGGAAUAUAGAUGUUCACUACGACUACAUGUUUAAGGUUUGUUAGGAUUGAUGAAUAUCUACAAUGGUACGAUAUCAUCCACUUUGAGUAUAAGCUCAUUGUUUUACUUUUGGUUUCCUUAAAAUGGAUCAUACCAAUAAAUAUCGU